GCAAGUCGAGCGGACUUGAUGAGAAGCUUGCUUCUCUGAUGGUUAGCGGCGGACGGGUGAGUAACACGUAGGCAACCUGCCCUCAAGUUUGGGACAACUACCGGAAACGGUAGCUAAUACCGAAUAAUUGUUUUCUUCGCCUGAAGAGAACUGGAAAGACGGAGCAAUCUGUCACUUGGGGAUGGGCCUGCGGCGCAUUAGCUAGUUGGUGAGGUAACGGCUCACCAAGGCGACGAUGCGUAGCCGACCUGAGAGGGUGAUCGGCCACACUGGGACUGAGACACGGCCCAGACUCCUACGGGAGGCAGCAGUAGGGAAUCUUCCGCAAUGGGCGAAAGCCUGACGGAGCAAUGCCGCGUGAGUGAUGAAGGUUUUCGGAUCGUAAAGCUCUGUUGCCAGGGAAGAACGCUUGGGAGAGUAACUGCUCUCAAGGUGACGGUACCUGAGAAGAAAGCCCCGGCUAACUACGUGCCAGCAGCCGCGGUAAUACGUAGGGGGCAAGCGUUGUCCGGAAUUAUUGGGCGUAAAGCGCGCGCAGGCGGUCAUUUAAGUCUGGUGUUUAAUCCCGGGGCUCAACCCCGGAUCGCACUGGAAACUGGGUGACUUGAGUGCAGAAGAGGAGAGUGGAAUUCCACGUGUAGCGGUGAAAUGCGUAGAUAUGUGGAGGAACACCAGUGGCGAAGGCGACUCUCUGGGCUGUAACUGACGCUGAGGCGCGAAAGCGUGGGGAGCAAACAGGAUUAGAUA
rnacentral:rRNA from 1 species